rnacentral:misc_RNA from 1 species
AAGGCAGCCGCUGGAGAGGCGGGGGGGGGCAAUGGUAGAAUCGACGAGACAUGGAUGAGAAGCGCUCGGCUGAAAGCGGUCGGGAUUCUGAAGAUACUGGAUAAUAAGGCCGACCCGCUUACCAGUCGCGUGAAGCGACACUAGUUCCCGAGCACUUGAAUGUCUUAACUGCUCUCGAUUGUAUCGAUAGGCAGGAGGCUUGAUGUCGAAACCCAGGUGGGCGCCGCGGCAUGCGAAAUGG